UUUUCUUUUGUUUAUUUAGGCUAGUUAUCAGGGGAAUUCAUUUAAGCUUCGUGUACCUUUUCCAAGACGAGCAGAAAAUAGAAAGGAUGUCAAGACUCUUAUAGUUGAAAUGCUAGAAGCUGCCAAGCCUCAAGUUUAAUCACCUUGACAGGAAGAUGUUCUUGAUCUUCUCUUUGUAAUGCUUAAAUUGAACUGGCCACAACUUUUCUGGCUUGGCUUGCUCUUUGGCAUGCUAAAGCAUUAACAUUCCCUCUCACGAAGCAGUUUUAAGUUGUACAUGGUAUCUAUGAACGAACCCAUACAUGUAAACUCUGAUAAUGCUCACUUGUAAAUUCAUUUUAUUUUUUGUGAAUGAAAUGGCAGUAUUCUCUGGCAA